rnacentral:rRNA from 1 species
GACGAACGCUGGCGGCGUGCUUAACACAUGCAAGUCGAACGGAAAGGCCCUGCUUUUGUGGGGUGAUCGAGUGGCGAACGGGUGAGUAACACGUGAGUAACCUGCCCUUGACUUUGGGAUAACUUCAGGAAACUGGGGCUAAUACCGGAUAGGAGCCCCUGUUGCAUGGUGGGGGUUGGAAAGUUUCGGCGGUUGGGGAUGGACUCGCGGCUUAUCAGCUUGUUGGUGGGGUAGUGGCUUACCAAGGCUUUGACGGGUAGCCGGCCUGUGAGGGUGACCGGCCACAUUGGGACUGAGAGACGGCCCAGACUCCUACGGGAGGCAGCAGUGGGGAAUAUUGCACAAUGGGCGGAAGCCUGAUGCAGCAACGCCGCGUGCGGGAUGACGGCCUUCGGGUUGUAAACCGCUUUCGCCUGUGACGAAGCGUGAGUGACGGUAAUGGGUAAAGAAGCACCGGCUAACUACGUG